GCGAUUGUAGCUUAAUACAAAGCGUCGGUCUUGUAAUCCGGAGAUAAAAUAAUAAUUUCUUUCGCU
rnacentral:tRNA from 1 species